UACGUAGGGUGCGAGCGUUAAUCGGAAUUACUGGGCGUAAAGCGUGCGCAGGCGGUUGGCUGUGUCCUGUGUGAAAGCCCCGGGCUCAACCUGGGAAUGGCAUGGGAAACUGGCUGGCUGGAGUGUGGCAGAGGGGGGUGGAAUUCCGCGUGUAGCAGUGAAAUGCGUAGAGAUGCGGAGGAACACCGAUGGCGAAGGCAGCCCCCUGGGCCAACACUGACGCUCAGGCACGAAAGCGUGGGGAGCAAACAGG
rnacentral:rRNA from 2 species